CGUCGGGCUGAUCCCCGCUGCG
rnacentral:miRNA from 1 species